rnacentral:tRNA from 1 species
AAAAAUUUAAGUUAAAAAAACUAUUGACCUUCAAAGUCAAAUUUAGAUUAGAUCUAAUUUUUA